rnacentral:rRNA from 1 species
AGCGAACGCUGGCGGCAGGCUUAACACAUGCAAGUCGAGCGGGCGUAGCAAUACGUCAGCGGCAGACGGGUGAGUAACGNGUGGGAACGUACCUUUUGGUUCGGAACAACACAGGGAAACUUGUGCUAAUACCGGAUAAGCCCUUACGGGGAAAGAUUUAUCGCCGAAAGAUCGGCCCGCGUCUGAUUAGCUAGUUGGUGAGGUAACGGCUCACCAAGGCGACGAUCAGUAGCUGGUCUGAGAGGAUGAUCAGCCACAUUGGGACUGAGACACGGCCCAAACUCCUACGGGAGGCAGCAGUGGGGAAUAUUGGACAAUGGGCGCAAGCCUGAUCCAGCCAUGCCGCGUGAGUGAUGAAGGCCCUAGGGUUGUAAAGCUCUUUUGUGCGGGAAGAUAAUGACGGUAC